AUUGAACGCUGGCGGCAGGCCUAACACAUGCAAGUCGAGCGAGCGGCGGACGGGUGAGUAAUGUAUGGGGACUGCCCGAUAGAGGGGGAUAACUACUGGAAACGGUAGCUAAUACCGCAUACUAUCGGAUAACCCCUAUGGGAUUAGCUAGUAGGUGAGGUAAUGGCUCACCUAGGCGACGAUCCCUAGCUGGUCUGAGAGGAUGAUCAGCCACACUGGAACUGAGAAAGGACCCAGGCUCCAGCGGAGGCAGGAGUGGGGAAUAUGGCACAAUGGGCGCAGGCCUGAUGCAGCCGUGCCGGGUGUAUGGAGAGGGCCCUAGGGUUGUAAAGUGCUUUCAUUCGGGAGGCGUAACCGACAGAAGAAGCACCGGCAAACACCGUGCAAGAGCCGCGGUAAUAC
rnacentral:rRNA from 1 species